rnacentral:tRNA from 1 species
GGGCGUUUAGCUCAGCGGGAGAGCGCCUGCCUUACAAGCAGGAGGUCGUGGGUUCAAAUCCCGCAACGCCCACCA